rnacentral:rRNA from 1 species
UACGGAGGGUGCAAGCGUUGUCCGGAUUUAUUGGGUUUAAAGGGUGCGUAGGCGGCCUUUUAAGUCAGUGGUGAAAGGCCCAUAGCCUCAACUAUGGAACUGCCAUUGAUACUGAAAGGCUUGAGUACAGACGAGGUUGGCGGAAUGGAUGGUGUAGCGGUGAAAUGCAUAGAUACCAUCCAGAACUCCGAUUGCGUAGGCAGCUAACUAGGCUGUAACUGACGCUGAGGCACGAAAGCGUGGGGAGCAAACAGG